ensembl:lncRNA
CACCCGCCAAUCUAAUGAUACCGCCAUCCACACUGCAAGUUGCUAGGCAACAGAGUUGUGUAAGACCUAGAACUGCUUUGUGAGAGCGUCCAGACUAAGAAUCGUGUUUUUAACACCCACACAGAAGACAUUCUCAGAUCAAAGAACCAUCUGUAUUCAUUUUUCAACCAGUAACACAACCACAGUGCAACACAAAUACGAACCAUGCCCAUUUCGUGACGAUGGAUGGCUCUUCACUUCAUAGACUGAUCCACGUUGUUGCUGAAUAAUGAUUGAUAAAGAAAAACAGCCUCAGCAGAACUGCUGCCAGGUUGAGCCUUGUUUCCAGGGAAACAGAAAACCAGAAGCUUUCUAUACUCAGAGACAACGCUGAAAUCCAAAGACCUCCAUCUACAGUGGAGGCUUCUAGAAAACAAACCUGCCUUUCUCAGCACCCAAAGGAGAUGUAGGAGCUUCAGAAAAGAGAGCUGAAUAUGCCUUGGAUCUGAUACAUGUUUUUCUUGAGUGGGAUGUAAACAUGAAUAGAGUUACAAGUCAGUGCUAGGAUUGCAGAAAAUGUAUACAACUCUGGGACUAUGUGAAAACUCCCAUGAACAGAAACUCACCCUGAGUGUUUUGAAAUCAGCUCAAAAAUUAACUCUGGUAUAAGUUAUUCCUGUGUGGCCCUUGUGAAGGACACCAUGAUGGAUAACAAACUGCCCGAAGCCUGCAAACAUACAAAAACGGUGGCCCAUGAAGAGAUCCAUACUGACUCUCAGACCACUGGAACCAAAGCUGGUCAGAUUCACUCGACAGUACUGAGUUGCUCAACAGUGGUGGUGGAUUUAAGCCCUGGAUCAAGUGAAGGACCCACACGUAGAGAACGCUUUAAAUCAGACUUGCAACAAGCCAGCCAAGAAAUCACAAUACUGGUUACAAAUCAUGAGUCGCCAGAGACAGAAAUGGAGGAAGCUGAGUGGAGUGGAGAAAGUGACACCAAUCCUGAGUGUAUGAGGCCAAGUGAGGAGGACAGUUUUGAUGUAUCCAAGGUGGUGGCAGACUUGAUAGAGCUCAGCCAAAUGCAACAGACCUGUUUGAUUAGUAAUAGUUCAGCUGAGCAAAGCACCAGUUCAGGUGGGAAGAACUUACCCAAGACUGAGGAGUGCAAAGAAACCCACAAAGAAGAAACACAACCUGAAAGUCAACAGGAAACUGCAAACUCUGGAGCCAGCAAAUCCCAAUCUGCAGAGGGAGUCAUGUCAUCAGAUUCAAAGGAUUCUAUGAGGUCAGAAAAGACAGUGAGCAAUGUGGCACUAAAGCAAGUAAAAUCCUUGGAGACUAGAAACUCAGAGGAGGGCAUAUUACCCAGGCAACAACAGCACAUACAGACACAGGUCAGUCUGGAGGUUGUAUACCACUCAGCAGCCACCAGCCCCAUGACCCCUCCCGAAGGUUCCACUGCUUUCUUCUUCCCCUUCUGUCUUAACAAGCUGGGCAAAAGUGAAGGGAGUGAAUCAGUUCCACUGGUAACAAAGGAUGCUGAGCUCCAGGUUGGCAUGCAAGUGGAGUACCGAUCAGUCGCCACAGCUCCCAUGACACCCAUAUCAACAAAUGCACCCGAAUUGCCAGUAGAGACUCGCUCAGUUGCCACAGCUCCCAUGACACCUGUGGUAACAAAUGCACCAAAGCUACUGGUAGAAACUCGUUCAAUUGCCACUGCUCCCAUGACACCCAUUACUACAAUCGCACCUGAACUACAGGUAGAGACUCGCUCAGUUGCCACAGCUCCCAUGACACCCAUUACUACAAUCGCACCUGAACUACAGGUAGAGACUCGCUCAGUUGCCACAGCUCCCAUGACACCCAUUACAACACAUGCACCUGAACUACAGAUAGAGACUCGCUCAGUUGCCACAGCUCCCAUGACACCUAUGGCAACAACUGCACCUGAACUACUAGUAGAGACUCGAUCAGUUGCUACAGCUCCCAUGACACCCAUUGCAACAGUCGCACCUGAGCUACAACUAGGGACUCGCUCAUUUGCCACAGAUCCCAUGACACCAAUAGUGACAACUGCACCUGAGCUACAACUAGGGACUCGCGCAUUUGCCACAGAUCCCAUGACACCAAUAGUGACAACUGCACCUGAGCUACAACUAGGGACUCGCGCAUUUGCCACAGAUCCCAUGACACCAAUAGUGACAACUGCACCUGAGCUAC